AGCAAGGAUUAUUGCGUUGUUUAAAUGCAAUAAAAAUAUUUCCUUCACUGAACUGGCCUCCAUGGGAUUUCGAUAAACCCAAAAUUGCAGAUUUUUUUCGAUCAUAGAUACUAAUCAAUAAACUCGCAAACAUGGGUAUGGAGAAAAUCUGUAUUCUUGUUAUCUUGAUUUUGCAGUGCCUAAGGGGACAUCAAAUAAUGCGAUUAUUGGUCUGUCUUACGCUAUCACAAAACAAAUUUUACAGUUUAUUGAAUAACUGUACGUGGAAUUAUGACAAUAUACGAGUACAAAGGAUAUUAUAUUUUACUACACUCUGAUUUGCACAGAAACAUGGUCCAAGACUGGCAGCCCAAUCAUGACUGAUGUAUCUGCAUCGACAACACCCAAAGUGUGCAUGGACACCCAUCCUUGUGCCUUAUAUAUAGAAAGGAAGAGAUUUGUAGAAGGAGUGGACCAUUCUAUCAAUGGUCUGAGAAAAAUUGUCCGCUGUACUGUGGAUUUUGUCAGGAGCCAACUAUAACUGUACCCUGCGAGGACAAACUUUCUAACUGUAAUCAAUAUGGUCAAGAUAUGUGUACCAACAGUCGUCACAUUUUAUUCAGGGAGAAAAAUUGUAGAAAAUAUUGCAGUAUUUGUUCAGGUACAGACUCUGUAGUAGACAUGUCUUCCAUGCUGGGAUAAUGUAAAUUAUCAAAAUUAUAUUCAUGUUUUCAACGUUG